UCCCCCUGACUUUGGGCAAGGGGAUGCCUUGGUGGUGGUGUUCUUGCAUAAAUAUCAGUCAGGGGCAAAGGAGAUGGCAGUCCUUUGGUCAUUAGAGCUUGAUGCCUGGCUUGAUGGCCAAAGCUGUUCUAUGCCUAGGACUCAUAA